CUCGGUGAUCAGGCGAUAUGGUCCCACCCGUUCCCAUUCCGAACACGGCCGUGAAACGUAUCAGCAGCGACAAUACUUGGUGGGUAACCGCCUGGGAAGAUAGCCCAUCGCCGGCA
rnacentral:rRNA from 1 species